rnacentral:rRNA from 1 species
ACCCAAUAGAUACCCGGGUAGUCCACGCCCUAAACGAUCACAACUGGCUAUAAGGAGUAUCGACCCUCUUUGUGGCGAAAGCUAAACGCGUUAAGUUGUGCGCCUGGGUAGUACGAUCGCAAGAUUAAAACUCAAAGGAAUAGACGGGGACUUGCACAAGCGGUGGAUCAUGCGGCUCAAUUCGAUGAUAAACGAAAACCUCACCAGGGUUUGAAACCCAGACGAAAUCCUUAGGAAACUUUGGACCUCGCAAGACGGCUGGGCAGGUGAUGCAUGGUCGUCGUCAGUUCGUGGCUUGAGUUGUUCCCUUCAGUGGGGUAACGAACGCAACCCGCGUUGCCUGUUUUAUAUGUCAGGCGAGACUGCCCCCGUCACGGGGGUAGGAAGGUGCGGAUGACGCCAGAUCAGCAUGUCCCUCUGAUAUCCUGGGCUGCACGCAUGAUACAAUGGUCACAACAACGGGUCGCGACGGGGUAACCCUGAGCUAAUCCUUAUAAACUGUGGCCCCAGUUCGGAUUGAGGUCUGCAACUCGACCUCAUGAA